GACGAACGCUGGCGGCGUGCCUAACACAUGCAAGUCGAACGGGACAGAGAGCUUCGGUUCUCUGUUUAGUGGCGAACGGGUGAGUAACGCGUGAGGAACCUGCCUUCCAGUGGGGGACAACAGUUGGAAACGACUGCUAAUACCGCAUGACAUAUCCGAAGGGCAUCCUUUGGAUAUCAAAGCUUUAUGUGCUGGAAGAUGGCCUCGCGUCUGAUUAGAUAGUUGGUGGGGUAACGGCCUACCAAGUCGACGAUCAGUAGCCGGUCUGAGAGGAUGAACGGCCACAUUGGGACUGAGAUACGGCCCAG
rnacentral:rRNA from 1 species